rnacentral:rRNA from 1 species
UACAGGGGGUGCAAACGUUGCUCGGAAUUAUUGGGCGUAAAGCGCACGUAGGCGGUUUGUUAUGUCGGAUGUGAAAGCCCUUGGCUCAACUGAGGAAGUGCAUCCGAAACUGGCAAGCUAGAGUACGUAAGAGGGUCGCGGAAUUCCCGGUGUAGAGGUGAAAUUCGUAGAUAUCGGGAGGAACACCGGUGGCGAAGGCGGCGACCUGGGACGAUACUGACGCUGAGGUGCGAAAGCGUGGGGAGCAAACAGG